AGCACACACUCCACACUGACCUCUCCAGCGGCGAACAGCGUCGUCAGAACCGUAUUAGGUGCCAAAAAGUCCCGAUUUCUCAGGUUUUUGGCGCUGCUCUCUUUAAACCAGACCUUCUCUCGUUCCCGGCUGAUGUCAGUUUCGCAUCCCUCGUCUCCCCGCAGCGCACCGCUUAAAGCUUUGACGGUGGACACGAUGCUAAACGGUACAGAAUCCUCCAUCAUUGGGCUCAGUUUAUAGUCAUCGUUAUCGACAACGAAACUAGUGGGCUGUUAGUGAUACAAGUAACCUUAAUAAAAGCCCAGCGCUACAGUACUGCUCGGAGACCCCGAUUGACCACCAAUCAAAACAGAUGCAUAGGGGGCCGGCCGGAACGUUAAGAUGAUGGAUGCGGUAGACGGGGAGGUAUUUUCAUGCAACAAUACGGGCACGUGAAAGACGCCAUUUUAAGUGUGGCAAAAGGCAUCUUCAGAAACUGAUUCAAAGAAGUCUGCUGAUACUACAUACAGAAUCCUGUGUAUUUGAGUUGCCGUGUUGGGUUUGAGGCCAACAAAAUGUGCAUACUUGUGCUUGAAAAACCUGUUCUCUAUCAGAAAGGAGCUGGAAAGAAAGAAGGAAGGGGGAGGAGGCUGAUCACGAGAGAUUAACCUGGAUAAUAAAAAGCGCGAUUAACAUGAAGUCAAAUGAAAGGAGGAACUUGAAAUAUGUAACUACUAUUAACUACAUAGAAAUAAUGGUUUAAGGCAGGUUAGUUUAAAUGACCUGUCCUCAUCUUACAGUAUUUUCAAGACUUAGUAAGUGAAGAAAGAUGUACAAAAUGAAAAAGUCUAAAACAAUGUACAUUUGGAUGCUUUUCUUUAUUUCUAAUUGCAGGCAAUCGUGCAACAAACCAUAACUUUGAAUGUGAAAGAAAUACAACAAAUAUUAAGGAAGCAGAGAGAAGGGGAAGGUAAACAGAAAUGAAAGAAAUUCACUAUCACUGUGAUCUACAACAAGAGAGCACGCUCAAAAUGAGGCGUAAAAUGAGUUUAAAAUCACAAAGAUGAAGUAGAAAUGACACACAAGAGAGAUGAAACAGAUUCUUUACCUAGCUUCUGUCAUUCCUUGAUUUUGUAUGGUCUCUCUCUCUCUCCCUCUCUCUCUGUCUGGCUGGUUUGAGUUACUGUCGGUGUGUUUGCGUAUUUAUACCUCCUGACUUCCUCCUUAGAAAUCUGAGGAACAUUUUCACUUUCACUUCUUCACUAGGCUGCCCAUAGCCUCCCCCCUUCUCAUAAUAAUCCUUACUAUCAUCCGUCUCUUAUUCAUUCUUAUAUGUAUCUAUUUUUUUUUACUCAUUCAUGCAAUUCAGUGUAUAUGCUGAAAAUGUAUCUACCCAAUUCUAAUUAUUUUUUGCACUUAACAGCAAUAGCUUGUUGGAAAGCCAAUACUGAUAUACACAUGACCUGUCAAUCAUUUCAUUUUUGCUGUGU